GUCACCACGCUCAGGCUGAAAAAAUUGCUAUUUUGUCACUCUCAAUGUGGGCUAUUUGCUAUUAUGUCGCCUGUGGGCUGUGGGGUUUGCGCCUGCGGCCUGUCGGCCGCUCCCGUCGUGUACGCGACCUACCUGGACCGGCUCAAUUGUAACGUUAAUGGGCCGAAAAGCUGGCGCUUGGGCCCGACUAGCCCAUCUCCGUCCGUCCCCGUCCCUCACCCGCGACUCCGCGAGCCAACCCGACCACCACUUCCGCCAUGGCCAUGCUCGCUCUCUCCUCCCGCCCCCUCUCCUCCUCCUCCUUCCUCCGCUCGAAGCCGCGCGCGCUCCACCUCCACCGCCACCUCCUCCCCAAACCCCUCGGCUCCGCCUCCCCGCUCACGCCGCCUACUCCCCGCGCCGACCCCGCCCCGGCGCCGGACGCGGACCCCACCCCGCUCUUCCUCCGCCCAGCGUCCCACCGGGUCCCACGCGCCGCCCUCGCCGCGUUCCGCCGCCGCGCGGCCGCGCUCGUCCCGCCCACCGCGCCGCACCUCCACCGCCACCUCCGCUGGCUCCUCGCCGACGCCACCGGGGACCCGUCCGCCGCCACCACCUCGUCCUCCGAAGGCCCAGCGCUCCUCCGCGCGCCGCUCGAGGACCUCGAGGCCCUGUGGCUGCGCCACGUCCGGGAGCGCACGCCGUUCCAGUACGUGGUCGGGAACGAGCACUGGCGGGACCUGGUGGUCGCCGUCAGGGAGGGCGUCCUCAUCCCGCGCCCGGAGACGGAGGCCAUCAUCGACAUGGUGCGCGCCGUGGAGGACUUCGCCGACGGGUGGUGGGCCGACCUCGGCACCGGCAGUGGCGCCAUCGCCGUGGCGCUCGCCAGGGAGCUCGCCGGGCAAGGGAGGGUGUUCGCCACGGAUGUCAGCGAGGUGGCCAUCGACGUUGCGAGGCUCAACGUCCAGAGGAUAAAGUUGAAAUAAGGCAUGGCUCAUGGUUUGAACCUCUGGAAGAUUUGAAAGGAAAACUUAUGGGUGUGAUUAGUAACCCUCCGUACAUACCAACCGACGACCUACCUGGUCUGCAACCUGAGGUUGGUUGGCAUGAACCAAAGUUGGCGCUUGACGGCGGCAAGGAUGGCCUUGAACAUCUGCUGCAUCUCUGUGAAGGGUUAUCCUCAGUUCUGAAACCUGGAGGCUUCUUUGUUUUUGAGACAAAUGGCAACAAACAGUCCGAGCUCCUUGUUGAUUUGAUAAGCACAAAGUGGAGUUGUUCUUUUCACAAUGUCAAAGCAGUUUUAGACUUUGCAGACAUCAAGCGUUUUGUAACGGGAUAUCGAAGAUGAACAAUAAAGCACAGAUGUUUGUGUAAUCAUUUGGAGACAUGUUUUGUUUCCUUCUUACUUAAGGACCUCCCCCAAUUGAAAAAAACGAGAUCAGUCUGGGCUGGCUUGGGCAGAAAGCGAACAACACAUGCAGUUGCCCCCUUUGCAGAGCUCAUCGCUUGGAGUUAAAGCCUGCUGGUGGCAACAAUAUGUCUCAGAGUUAAUCAUAAAUUCAUAUUCGUUAAAAAAAUGUAUCCUCUAGGCAUGCGAGGUAGUAAUAUGUUUGUUUGGCAGAGCCAAGCUGCGCAUCCAACUGCUCAAGAAAGCUCGACGGCAGUAGACGAGAGAGAGUGCUGUGGCAGUUGGGCUUUCAGGAGACUGUAGCUCGUAUGUAUCUGGCCACUAGUUUUCUGGCCGAGUUGGGUGGUGAUUGUGAUUUAAUUAAAGUGGAAGCUUUUGUGCCUGCCUUCCAAAAUUAUUCCGCCGUCCACACGCCACCUUGCGUGUUUCAUUAUUGAUGGCGUGGUCCAGUUUUCUGUUUUUA